CUCUCAUUUCCUUUAAAUUCCUGUGGCUCCACCUGGAAGCACAGGCUGUGGGCCUGGAAGUGAUACCUAAUUUGCAGAGGGUCCUGCAGGCCGGGCUCAGGCAGAGAUCCCGGAAUUGUAGGACUGCGCAUCUGGAAGGGGGAGGAGGGGGCAGCCCUGCAGGGAUCUUUGGGAUGGAUCGCUCAGACUAAGAAACUGAGGUCUAGAGAGGAUCGAUGAAGACAAAGGACCUCAACAUUGUCUUCCAGCAAGGCAGUCAGAGAUGAGGUCUGUUUUAUCUUAUUUGGCCCUGGAGAUGGACUCUACCACUGAGCUGCACUGCCAACCCCUGGGAUCUGUUUUGGAGUCAUUUUAAGGAGGCCUAUAGGCACCACCUGCAAGCUGUUCAUCUAUCCUCUGAGUUGGAGGAGGAAAGGAAGACCUUGCCAAGCCCUCCAAACCUGCUUAUAUUCUCUGUCUGGGGGAGUCUGUGCUUUGUCACAGAAUGGACUCCUGGCUUCUCCAUCCU
rnacentral:lncRNA from 1 species